UUAGGAAUGUGAUUGUAUGUUAGAAACUGUUUUAUAACAGACAGAGAAGUAGAAAAACAGAAAAUAGUUUUUAGGUUGGUGUGUGUGUUACAGUUACACCAUAAAGAGGCCCCAAUGUGUGUGGUGUAUGAAGAUAGUAGAAUCUGCCUGGAGACGGAGGAUAACACCCCAUCAAGGAAAAGGAUAAAGGUUGAGGGAUAUUGCAGAUUCGGGGCUCACAGAUCGACAGAGACUUUGCUGACCUGAGCUCCGUACAUUUGAUGUCUGAAGCUAGGGAAACUUAGUCUCUUUUUGGGAACCCACAAUUGUGUUCUGUAAACUUAACUGCUGGACUUAGUAAACUUUGCUAAACUUGA